rnacentral:rRNA from 1 species
GAGUUCGAUCCUGGCUCAGGAUGAAUGCUAGCGACAUGCUUAACACAUGCAAGUUGAACGAUAAUUUUAUAGUAGCGAACGAGUGAGUAAUACAUAAGAACCUAUACUAGAGAGGAGUAUAACAAUUGGAAACAGUUGCUAAUUCUCCAUAAACUGAGGAGUAAAAGAUUAAUAUUAAAAAUCGCUCUAGGCUGGGCUUAUGUCUGAUUAGCUAAUUUGUAGGGUAACAGCCUACACAGGCUAUAAUCAGUAACUGGUCUGAGAGGAUGAUCAGUCACGCUGGGACUGAGACACGGCCCAGACUCUUACGGGAGGCAGCAGUGGGGAAUAUUCCGCAAUGGGCGAAAGCCUGACGGAGCAAUGUCGCGUGAAGGAUUAAGGCCUUGACAAGGUUGUAAACUUCUUUUAUGGUAGAAGAAAAAAUGACGUUAUUCCAUGAAUAAGCAUCGGCCAACUCUGUGCCAGCCGCCGCGGUAAUACAGAGGAUGCGAGCAUUAUCCAGAAUGAUUGGGCGUAAAGGGUUCGUAGGUCGUUUUUUAAGUCUAUUGUAAAAUAUUAGAGCUCAACUCUGACCUGCAUUAGAAACUAAAAAACUUGAGUAUACUAAAAGUAAGGGGAAUUUUAAAUGGAGUGGUGAAAUACGUUGAUAUUGUAAAGAACACCAAUGGCGAAGGCACCUUACUCGAUUAAUACUGACACUGAGUAACGAAAGCUAUGGUAGCGAGUGGGAUUAGAGACCCCGAUAGUCAUAAGCUGUAAACAAUGGAUACUAAGCAUAUUAAGCAUAAAUAAUAAAAAUAUAUGCCUAUGUUAUACUAAAGCUAACGCGUCAAGUAUCCCGCCUGGGAAGUACGUUCGCAAGAAUGAAACUCAAAGGAAUUGACGGGGGUCCACACAAGCGGUGGAGCAUGUGGUUUAAUUCGAUGCAAAGCGAUGAACCUUACCAGGAUUUGACAUGUCGAAAUUUUUAUUGAAAAAUAAAAUUUAUACUAUCCAGUAUAUAGAUACAGGUGGUGCAUGGCUGUCGUCAGCUCGUGCUUUUAGGUAUUAGGUUAAGUCCCCGAACGAGCGUAACCCCUAUACUUAUCUUUAUUUGUAUAAAUCAUAUAUAUUAUGGAUUUUGUCCCUAUCCUUAUAAUAAUAUAUAUUAAUUAUAAAAUGAUCUUUAAGUAUACAGCUGGUGUAAGCUAGAGGAAGGAAGGGACUACGUCUAGUCAUCAUGCUCUUUAAAUCCUGGGCUACUCACGUGCUACAAUGGUUGGGACAAAAUGUUGCAAUCCUGUAAAGGAGAGCUAAUCCACAAACCCAAUCUCAGUUCGGAUUGAGGGCUGCAACUCGCACUCAUGAAGUCGAAAUCGCUAGUAAUCGCUAAUCAGCAAUAUAGUGGUGAAUAAGUUCUUGGACCUUGUACACACUGCCCGUCACAGUCUGGAAAUUGGUUAUGUCUAGAAUCAUUUAAUAAAUGACGAAGACAAAAUUGGUAACUAGAAUGAAGUCGUAACAAGGUAGCUGUACUGGAAGGUGCAGCUGGAAUUU